rnacentral:rRNA from 1 species
GAUGAACGCUGGCGGCGUGCCUAAUACAUGCAAGUCGAGCGAACAGACGAGGAGCUUGCUCCUCUGACGUUAGCGGCGGACGGGUGAGUAACACGUGGAUAACCUACCUAUAAGACUGGGAUAACUUCGGGAAACCGGAGCUAAUACCGGAUAAUAUAUUGAACCGCAUGGUUUAAUAGUGAAAGACGGUUUUGCUGUCACUUAUAGUUGGAUCCGCGCCGCAUUAGCUAGUUGGUAAGGUAACGGCUUACCAAGGCAACGAUGCGUAGCCGACCUGGGAGGGUGAUCGGCCACACUGGACCUGAGACACGGUCCAGACUCCUACGGGAGGAAGCAGUAGGGAAUCUUCCGCAAUGGGCGAAAGCUUGACGGAGCAACGCCGCGUGAGUGAUGAAGGUCUUCGGAUCGUAAAACUCUGUUAUUAGGGAAGAACAAAUGUGUAAGUAACUAUGCACGUCUUGACGGUACCUAAUCAGAAAGCCACGGCUAACUACGUG